GCCUCCAUUUGCUGUUUGGGAAACUCUCUACGCUAUGAAUGUUAGCUGGCAGCAAACACUGCCUCCCACUACAGGGGCACACAGUGUUGGUGCCUGCUUUUCCACCCUCCACUUCCAACAGGAAGCAAGCACAGGACCCAAGCAUUGCAGACAGUUGUAUCACGCCAAUGUGCAUUCGGAGCCACUGACAGCAGAGUCUUGCUUUGUCACCCAGGCUGGAGUACAGUGGCGUGAUCACAGCUUACUGAAACGUCUGCGUCUCAGGUUCAAGCGAUUUUUCUGCCUCAGCCUCUGGUGUAGCUGGAAUUACAGUGUUAGCAGUCACUGAUGCUCAAACAUGAGAAGACUGGGACAUCCAUCAGAUAAGAAACGCUGCCCAAAGUGUUAGACUAAUAAGUGACAGGGUUGGACAAUGAACCCAACCACUCAACCUUCCGGAAAA
rnacentral:lncRNA from 10 species